AUGAACGCUAGCGACAGGCCUAACACAUGCAAGUCGAGGGACAGCACAAGGAGCAAUCUGAGGUGGCGACCGGCGCACGGGUGAGUAACACGUAUGCAACCUGCCUGUAAGCGGGGAAUAACCCGUUGAAAGACGGACUAAUACCGCAUAAUACUAAAUUACUGCAUGGUAAUUUAUUUAAACAUUUAUGGCUUACAGAUGGGCAUGCGCAUGAUUAGCUAGUUGGAGAGGUAACGGCUCCCCAAGGCAACGAUCAUUAGGGGUUCUGAGAGGAAGGUCCCCCACACUGGUACUGAGACACGGACCAGACUCCUACGGGAGGCAGCAGUGAGGAAUAUUGGUCAAUGGACGAGAGUCUGAACCAGCCAAGUCGCGUGCAGGAAGAAUGUCCCUAUGGAUUGUAAACUGCUUUUGCAGGGGAAUAAAGUGCAUCACGUGUGAUGUUUUGUAUGUACUCUGCGAAUAAGGAUCGGCUAACUCCGUGCCAGCCGCCGC
rnacentral:rRNA from 1 species